AUUCAGAAAGAACUUCAAAUGUUCUCCAGUUUGUUAUUUGCCAAACCCUGUACAUCCCAAAGGCCCUGGGAGGGGGUCCUCUCCACCAUGUGCAUGAACGUGGGAGAGAUGGUACCUUGGCCUGGGAGCUCACACAGAUUCAGGGUCUCAGAAAGCCCAGAAGAUACCCCUUUGAUUCUUCUGUCGUUCAGUGUCGUAGUCUGCACAUGAGGGUUGGAAGAAGAAUUUCCUGAUCUAAAGCGAGGAAACGUCCUGGACCAGGCCCACCUGUCAAUGGAUGUGGGAGGAAGGAAUGAACACAUUCCCUUCGGAGUCUGACCAGAACCAGGAAAUGCUUGACGUUUGUUACUCCCUCCCCUUUCAGAAGAAAAGAAAAGAAAAAAAAAAAUAAGAAGAAAAGAAGCCUGAGAACUAACUUUGUCAAGACGGUUCUUUGGGACAGGAGUCCACCCUCUACUCCAUCUGCCAGCUUUCUGAGUAAUGUUGCUAUUCCUUCCCCGGCAACUUAUCUCUUGCUUCAUUGGCCUGUCCCUGAGGCGAGCAGUAGGACCUUCUAACGAUGGGAGGGAAAAUUCCACAAAUAGACACAUAGAAGAAGGUAAGAAGAACAGUUUCACUUUACCCAUACCCCUGGCCCGUUAUGCUACCCAUGCCAAGAGAAAUGCCCUCAGCCCAUGACUUUUCCACAGGGAAGGGUAAAAACCUAGUGAGUAGGUGUCCAGCUUCCCCAGCUAUGUAGGAGUGACCUGUGCUGAUCACUCCCAGAACGCUGAGUGAUCAGCACAGGUGAGAGGUUGGGAGACAGCAACUCGGGUUCCGAAACAUCGAAGGGCCAUGGAUACUGAAUUUUGUCAAGGACUUUUCUGCACUAUUAAGAACAGGAGUUCCCAUUGUGGCUCAGUAGGUUAAGAACCCAACUAGUAUCCAUGAGGAUGUGGGUUCUAUCCCUGGCCUCGCUCAGUGGGUUACAGAUCUGGUGCUGCCUUGAGGUGUGGUUUAGAUUUCAGAUGCAGCUCUGAUCCAACCCCUAGCCUGGAACUUCCAUAUGCUGCAGGUGUGGCCCUUAAAAAAAAAAAAAAAGGAAAAUGAUAACAUUCUCUUCCUUAUUCUCUUUGAAAAAGAAAAUUGCCCUGACUUUUCAAAUGUUGAAGCAACUUUACAAUUUUGGGAGUUCCCGUUGUGUCUCAGUGGUUAACGAAUCUGACUAGCAACCAUGAGGUUUUGGGUUUGAUCCCUGGCCUUGCUUGGUGGGUUAAGGAUCCGGCAUUGUCUUGAGCUGUGGUGUAGGUCGCAGAUGCGGCUUGGAUCCCUCGUUGCUGUGGCUGUGGCGUAGGCCAGUGGCUACAGCUCUGAUUAGACCCCUAGCCUGGGAACCUCCAUAUGCUGUGGGUGUGGCCCUAGAAAAGACAAAAACAAAAAACAAAAAAGCUUUACAAUUUUGGGAUAAGCGUAACUUUGUUGGAAAAAAAUAAUAAUGCCACCAACUUUCUGGGUUAUUAUGAAUAGGCUUAGCAUAAUAACUGGCAUACAGUAAGUGCUCAAUAAAUGUCUUCAGCCAUUAUUUAUUAUAUGCUUUGGAGAAAGACUGAGCUAUGAGCCUCAAUUUUCCAGCAAAAGCUUGCUGAUGUGUCUGUCCUUUGAAUCCUUGGGGAAAGGUAAGGGAGUGAUCUGUGGCCAGCCAACUCCUCAACAUAAUUUUUUCAAUGAAUAUAUUUUUGCAAAUAUGGCUAGCUCUUAAGCAUGAAAUAGGCAUUGUCACCAGUUAAUGCUGAGGACACUGUGAGGUGUAGAGACAUGUAUCAUUUUAUAAACCCCGAUUUCUCCUUGUAAGCAGAAUUACAUGCUAAGUACUGCCCACGGAGUAGCUUUAGACAGUUUUCCCACCUAACAGCUCUUUGCUGCCCACAUAUUUACACCUGCCAUUAUUUGGGACCCAAACAAAUAGAUUUAUAUUACUUUGACAUGUUAAAAGCCACCAAGUAAUAACUAAGAAAUCUUUUAAGGUAGAAAUUUGUCAGAAGUUUUUAGAUACAAAGUCUGCCAUCUAGUGGCAUGAAUGAUUAGUGCAGGCACAGCCAAACACGUUCUAAGGAAAAAAUGGGAACUAAUAUGUAUUAAAAGCCUACUGUGUGCCAAGCAUUGCAAUAAGCAGUUUAUUUCUUUACAUCUUUCAGUCUCCUCGAGUAUUCCUGUUACGCAUAUGUCACUGCUGUAACUCAUCUUCACUAGCGGAGGAUGAAAAGCAAAAGAAACUUCUCCUAAAUUUAUUUGUAGGUAGAAGAGAGAGAAAGCAAGAGAGGGAUCCAGAAUUAGGGAGCUGAAAGACUCAGAGAUGUGAGCCUCUUUUUCCAUGACCAUGUACCUUAUGUGAAUGAACAGAUAUAAACGUCGUCUGGGGAGUUCCCGCUGUGGUGCACGGGGAGUAGCAGUGUCUCUGCAGUGGCAGGGUGCCGUUUUGAUCCUGGUGCUGGCACAAGUGUGUUAAAGGGUUCGGCAUUGCUACAGCAGCAGUGUAGGGCAGAGCUGCAGCUUGGAUCUGACCCCUGGCUCAGGAACUCCAUGUGCCAUGAGGUACCAAAAAAAAAAAAAANAAGCAGAAGAAAACAAAAAUGUUGUCUGAAACUUAAGAAUUUCACCAAGUGUGAGUCUAAUGGUGAUGGUUAUGUAAUAGGUUCUUGAGGACAGAGGCCAUAUCAUAUAUGAUCAUAUCCUUUAACCUCCUCCCUUGAGGCUCCGCAAGCCAGGGGUGGGUUUUCUCCUCAUCCUUCUCUCACUGAAAAUCAUUCAUUCUUUGACCAACUUCCACUUCCAGCUGUAGCUCAAAUGAAAUGGCUUUCCCCAGAGAGAACAGCACUUUUUUUUUUUUUGGUCUUUUUGCCUUUUCUUGGGCUGCUCCCAUGGCAUAUGGAGGUUCCCAGGCUAGGGGUCUAAUCAGAGCUGUAGCCGCCUGCCUACACCAGAGCCACAACAACACGGGAUCUGAGCCACAUCUGCAACCUACACCACAGCUCACAGCAACGCCGGAUCCUUAACCCACUGAGCAAGGCCAGGGAUCAAACCCACAACCUCAUGUUCCUAGUCGGAUUCAUCAACCACUGAACCACGACAGGAACUCCCAGCACUUAACGUUUUAGAAGAACUUUUUUGCGGAAUUUCUCCCCAACCAGACUCACUCUGGUGGCUCAGUGGGUUAAAGACCUGACACUGUCUCUGAGAUUAUGAGGCCUCCUUCAUUUCAUGCUGUUCCUGUCAAGGUGAUUAUAGAAUCAAGACCUAAUUUUUCCAGCUUCUCAGGUUAAACUAAUUGACUUGGGUUUUUUUUUUUUUUCUUCUUCUUCUUUGCUUUAAUUUGCCCUUUGAAAAUACCUUAAAAAAAAAAAUCUAUGCUCCGAAGAUUUAGUCAAAGGAAUCUAUGAUCCUGGUUCCCAACUUACAUAUUAAAUUAACCAGAUUUCUUGGAUAAGAAAUGACAAAUGGGAGUUUUUGUUGUGGCUCAGUGGGGUACGAACCCAAGUAGGAACCAUGAGGAUGUGGGUUCCAUCCCUGGCCUUGCUCAGUGGGUUAAGGAUCAGGUGUCACUGUGAGCUGUGGUGUGGCUUACAGAUGUGGCUCAGAUCCCUCAUUGCUGUGGCUGUGGUGUAGACUGGCAGCUCUAGCUCUGAUUUGAUUUGACCCACAGCCUGGGAACUUCCAUAUGCUGCGAGUNAAAAAAAAAAAAAAAAAAAAAAA
rnacentral:lncRNA from 1 species